GACGAACGCUGGCGGCGUGCCUAAUACAUGCAAGUCGAACGCUUCUUUCCUCCCGAGUGCUUGCACUCAAUUGGAAAGAGGAGUGGCGGACGGGUGAGUAACACGUGGGUAACCUACCCAUCAGCGGGGGAUAACACUUGGAAACAGGUGCUAAUACCGCAUAACAGUUUAUGCCGCAUGGCAUAAGAGUGAAAGGCGCUUUCGGGUGUCGCUGAUGGAUGGACCCGCGGUGCAUUAGCUAGUUGGUGAGGUAACGGCUCACCAAGGCGACGAUGCAUAGCCGACCUGAGAGGGUGAUCGGCCACACUGGGACUGAGACACGGCCCAGACUCCUACGGGAGGCAGCAGUAGGGAAUCUUCGGCAAUGGACGAAAGUCUGACCGAGCAACGCCGCGUGAGUGAAGAAGGUUUUCGGAUCGUAAAACUCUGUUGUUAGAGAAGAACAAGGACGUUAGUAACUGAACGUCCCCUGACGGUAUCUAACCAGAAAGCCACGGCUAACUACGUG
rnacentral:rRNA from 1 species